rnacentral:lncRNA from 1 species
AGACCGCUAGUGCCCGUCAAGUUAGCAACGAACUUCUUGAGGAGGUCUUGCCACGAAGACAUGGAUGCUUGAGGAAGGAUGAGGAUCCAUGCAGGCGCAACCUCCUUGAGGGCUAUCGGGAACCAUUUUGCCAUGACCCGGUCGUCCCCCCUUGGGGUCUGGAUGCUCAUGGUGCAAAUUAGGAGGAACUCCGUGGGAUUGGUGCCACCAUCGCAGGGAGGAGGGAGCUCUGGCUUGAACUUGUAGGGCCAGACCACACGACGUAGCUCGGGGGUGAGUGGCACGUAACCCCUGAUGGUAGCGACGCCUUCGUUGAAAGCUGCAUGGUUCCUGUGGCCAAUGGCGGCAUCCUGGAGAACAUGGUCCUAGUGGUCGUGCCCUCUCGUGGCUCGCACACGCGUCUUGGGGCACGCAAUGGAUGAUCUAGUAGCUUCCUGCAUCAACCGCGUGUGCCAUCGGCCUGCGGUAUUGAUCUGUCACACGCGCUAGCGGAUGAGGAGGUGGUCCUUCGUGCUCGGCUUGGUCGACUCGCGACAGUGGAGGGAGCAUGGAGCAGGAUGGCGAUUGGUCAUCUUGACUAAGCACGGUGUGUUGCGGUAUUGACAAGAUCGUUGAUGCGCCCAAGCUGGGCCUCGCAGCCAUCGUCGGUACGGCGAUAGCGUAGAAGCUCGUGAGCCAUGAGUAAAGCGGAGGGCGGUGCCGGAGGAUCGUGGUUUGCGAGCGAGGAGGCAGUGGCAGAGUGAUCGCACACCUGCUCAUUUACGGACUGGUGCAUGGAGGAGGUCAAGCGCUCCCAGACAGGCUGUUUGGCGGCCCGAGGACACCACCCUGGAGCGCCACAACUUGAGGUGUUACAGAUGCCUUGGUGGCGGCUCGGUGCAUGAUGCGCUCCCCUUGGGAGGUAGCUUCGUCCAUGUCUAUGU